rnacentral:rRNA from 1 species
GUGACCCCAGGAUGGGCGAGGCCACCCGCUGAG